UACGGGGGGUGCGAGCGUUGUCCGGAAUCACUGGGCGUAAAGGGCGCGUAGGUGGCAUGAUAAGGGAGUGGUGAAAGCCCGGGGCUCAACCCCGGGUCUGCCAUGCCGACUGUCACGCUAGAGUACUGUAGGGGCAGGCGGAAUUCCGGGUGUAGCGGUGGAAUGCGUAGAGAUCCGGAGGAACACCGAUGGCGAAGGCAGGUCACUGGGCCGCAACUGACGCUGAGGAGCGAAAGCGUGGGGAGCAAACGGG
rnacentral:rRNA from 1 species